rnacentral:rRNA from 1 species
AGUCGUAACAAGGUUUCCGUAGGUGAACCUGCGGAAGGAUCAUUACCGAGUCCUCGCCCUCCGGGGUGUAUCUCCCACCCAUGUCUACUCUACCUUCUGUUGCUUUAGCGGGCUAUCUAUGUACGCUGCUAACAAGCUAGCAGCGUACGCUCGCUAAAGGACCCUAAAACCUACAAUGAACGCGUGUCGUCCGAGUACUAUGGAAUAGUUAAAACUUUCAACAACGGAUCUCUUGGUUCUGGCAUCGAUGAAGAACGCAGCGAAAUGCGAUAAGUAAUGUGAAUUGCAGAAUUCAGUGAAUCAUCGAAUCUUUGAACGCAUAUUGCGCCUCUUGGUAUUCCGAGAGGCAUGCCUGUCCGAGCGUCAUGAGACUAAUCAAGUGCUACUUGGUAUUAGGCCACGCUAUCAGUGGCGAGCCUCGAAUUCAGUGGCGAUGCCGCUAAGCUUCACGCGUAGUAGUUUGCCACGCUACGAAGUAUAGCAGUAGGCGACCAGAACUUGUAACCUUUCGGGUUGACCUCGGAUCAGGUAGGAAUACCCGCUGAACUUAAGCAUAUCAAUAAGCGGAGGAAAAGAAACCAACAGGGAUUGCCUUAGUAACGGCGAGUGAAGCGGCAAUAGCUCAAAUUUGAAAUCUGGCUCUCGCAGGGCCCGAGUUGUAAUUUGUAGAAGAUGCUUCGGGCGUAGUGCCGGUCUAAGUUCCUUGGAACAGGACGUCGUAGAGGGUGAGAAUCCCGUACGUGACCGUGUGUCUACGCCUAUGUGAAGCUCUUUCGACGAGUCGAGUUGUUUGGGAAUGCAGCUCAAAAUGGGUGGUAAAUUUCAUCUAAAGCUAAAUACUGGCCAGAGACCGAUAGCGCACAAGUAGAGUGAUCGAAAGAUGAAAAGCACUUUGGAAAGAGAGUUAAACAGCACGUGAAAUUGUUGAAAGGGAAGCGCUUGCAACUAGACUUGUGCACGGUCGAUCAUCCGUGGUUCUCCCCGGUGCACUCGGCCGCGCUCAGGCCAGCAUUAGUUCAUGUGGUCGGAUAAAGGCUGCGGGAACGUAGCUCCUCUUGGGGAGUGUUAUAGCCCGUAGCGCCAUACGACCUACUCGGACUAAGGACCGCGCUUCGGCUAGGAUGCUGGCGUAAUAGUUGUAAGCGACC